GCCGAUGUAGCAUUAACGGGUAAAUGCAUAUUGGAGAAUGCAGGUUCGAGCCCUGCCAUCGGCC
rnacentral:tRNA from 1 species